rnacentral:lncRNA from 1 species
CAGGUCUCCACGUCGAACCAUUCCUUCGUGCAUCGGCUUCUAACCACUGCUAAUUGAUCGAGUGCCACUUUACAUGUGUUGGGACUGUGUUGGACCAUUGCAUUUCUUGAUAUUGCAGGUGGUCUUUCACAUGCAAGAUGUGUCCUUACUAUGGGCUACAGGAAUCCUUGUUACGUAUCUGAUGACAUCUUGAGCUUUC